rnacentral:rRNA from 1 species
GACAGAGGUGCCGAGCGUUAGGCGGAAUCACUGGGCUUAAAGCGUGUGUAGGCGGCGGCGUAAGUACCUUGUGAAAUCCCACGGCUCAACCGUGGAACUGCUCGGUAUACUGCGUCGCUUGAGCCAGCUAGGGGCGACCGGAACAAACGGUGGAGCGGUGAAAUGCGUAGAUAUCGUUUGGAACGCCGAUGGUGAAAACAGGUCGCUGGGCUGUGC